UCCAGGAAAAGCCUCUAAGCAUCAGGUAACAUUAAAUCGUACCCCAAACCGACACAGGUGGUCAGGUAGAGAAUACUCAGGCGCUUGAGAGAACUCGGGUGAAGGAACUAGGCAAAAUGGUGCCGUAACUUCGGGAGAAGGCACGCUGGCAUUAGGUAAAGAGACUUGCUCUCGGCGCCGAAGCCAGUCGCAGAUACCAGCUGGCUGCAACUGUUUAAUAAAAACACAGCACUGUGCAAACACGAAAGUGGACGUAUACGGUGUGACGCCUGCCCGGUGCUGGAAGGUUAAUUGAUGGGGUCAGCCGCAAGGCGAAGCUCUUGAUCGAAGCCCCAGUAAACGGCGGCCGUAACUAUAACGGUCCUAAGGUAGCGAAAUUCCUUGUCGGGUAAGUUCCGACCUGCACGAAUGGCGUAAUGAUGGCCAGGCUGUCUCCACCCGAGACUCAGUGAAAUUGAACUCGCUGUGAAGAUGCAGUGUACCCGCGGCAAGACGGAAAGACCCCGUGAACCUUUACUAUAGCUUGACACUGAACAUUGAGCCUUGAUG
rnacentral:rRNA from 1 species